AAUUAUAAUUCUGUACAUAAGGAUAAAAUUGUAAUUUAAAACAAUUUACUCCCAAUCCAAGACAAAGUAAACAAAUAAUUAGGAUUCUGAUUGACAAUCCAUACUUUUAUUUAGUCUAAGUAAACACCCUACUCUCACUCCCACUCCACACUCCUAAUCCAAGGAUUCCCACUCCUCAGGAUUCCCACUCCAAUCCAAAAAGUAAAUGCAGCAAUAAAAUGCAAUAAGGUAUGCGCCACUACACACCUUAUUGUAUGCGACAGUGUGAGUCAAGAUCAAAACUAGAGAGUUGUGGGUCCCACAACACAGCUCUAUGUUUCAACUCUUGACACAUUCGUUAUCAAAUGCCACAUGCUGGCUACUCACUCACACACACAUAAAUGAGUCAUUAUCUAAUAAGAGACUCCUUAAAUUAUUAAAGUUACUCCAAGACAAAUAAAACGCAUACUCUAAUGCAGUGUAUUGUAUCAUAUAAUAUAUUAAAGAGUAUUUUAUUUUGUCUUUUAACUUAUUCCUUAUUUUAAUAACUUAAGGGGUCCCUCAUUAAAAAAUUGAUGUGUGUGUGAUUAGGAUAUAAAUAACAAUAUAAAAUUAUUAAAUUUAAUUAUAUAGCAUUAUAAACAUGCAUGUGCCACAAUACCUUGAGGGAAUGUUGGCAUACUUUAUUGUAUUACAUUAUAAUGUAUUGCAUUAGGUUAUAUUAAGUUAUAAUGCAAUAUAAUGUUUAGUGCAAUAUGGACUGUACUAUAUGUAAUAAUAUAUUAUAUCAUUAUUUAGUUUACUAUAAUUUUAAAUUAACAUUAUCUAGACUUAUUAGCACUAAAGUAUUUAUUAUUAGUUAUUGUAAAUUAUUUAAAAAUAAUUAAUUCUUAUAUAUUAAUUAAUGUAAUAUAAUCGCAUAAUGUAAUAUUUUAUAAUAUUAUUAGAUAAUAUAAUAUUAAAUUACAAAUUUAUUUUUAUCCAAAAACACAAAAAGAAGAAGUAGAAGUAAUGAGGCAUUUUGCCGUAUUAGCCAAACCCUAUAUAUACAAUGCACCACAAUACAGUAGCUGUCGUAGGCAAAUAUGAGACUGUACUACAUAAUGCUAUGCAUCUCAUGUUAUGAGAGGUGCUAAACGCACCCUUAAAGCAAAAACCGCAAGAGAAGAUUCUAACUCCAAACAAAUAUUUUUUUUUCCAUGUUACUGAUAUGAAUUGUAUAUUUAUCCAAUUAAAAUCUCAUAACUUUUAGAAUUUAACUCAAAAACAAGAAAUCACUCAUAAUUGGAUUAUAAAUCACUUUCCCUUCUGAUGUACUAUAACAAUUUGUUUAAAAAGUUCUUACAAAAUUUUAAUUGUUAUAGGUGAUUUAUGUAAUUCUAAGAGGAAAAUCUUCAAAAAGCAACAAAAAAAACUAUUAAGACAAAGUGCCACUAAAGUAUUGGCUAAUGGUAGAUUCAUGUCCUCUAUAAUUUGAGUGUUGAGCAUUCAAUAAAAUUUUCUCCAAACAAAUGAUAAUAGUCUCAAUCAAGCAUUAGUCAAAAACUUAUAUUAUUAAUUCAAGUCCUAUUAGGUAUUGAAAUUGGACUCCUAUAAUUUCACA
rnacentral:lncRNA from 1 species